UACGUAGGGUGCGAGCGUUGCCCGGAUUCAUUGGGCGUAAAGCGCGCGCAGGCGGCUCCGCACGUCCCGCGUGAAAUCGCCCGGCUCAACCGGGCGGGGUCGCGGGCGACGGCGGGGCUCGAGCGAGGGAGGGGGCAGUGGAAUUCCCGGUGUAGUGGUGGAAUGCGUAGAUAUCGGGAGGAACACCUGUGGCGAAAGCGGCGCACUGGACCAUAACUGACGCUGAUGCGCGAAAGCUAGGGGAGCAAACAGG
rnacentral:rRNA from 1 species